rnacentral:RNase_P_RNA from 1 species
GAGAGGGAGAGUGCGGCUGACGGUGGCACAUGACCUGUGCUGCUGAGGAAAGUCCUCCCACCAACCAGACACGUAGCCGCAUGCAAAUGCGGGUGGCGAGAGCCACGGCAAUGACACAGAAACGACACGGCCUGCUGUCAGUGAUGAAACGAUCGAGCUCUUCAUUGACAAGAGCGAGAAUGCGUGGAAUCCACGCGAUAACUCGUUGAACGUAGCAGCAGGAUACGAUGAAACGGUGAAUCCCUGCGGGUGCAAACCAGAGUAGGGCAGAUGGAUCGUCUGGUAUCCGCCCGGGUAUGGCGCGUAGCUGAAUGCCGCACAGAACAGAAGGAGGCUUACUCCUCCCACUC